AUCCAGAAAAUAAACUUUUUCUUACUACGCUGAUUACCUUUUCUGUGUUCGGGCAUUCAUUUUUGACAUCUUAGAUUUUUUUUUCUGAAGAGAGAUGGAGGUGGAGCACAGAGACGAUUACGAUAAGUGUUUUUAAGUAAUACAGGUGUCCCCAUGUACUAUCACUUUAAGUUUGCAUUUCUGUUGUGGCUCCAACUUCUAUCUUUUGAUGGAUGUACACAUUGCUGCACCUGUAUAAUUCCCAUGAAAAAGUGUGCCCGAGAGUGAAUAUGAAUGAACGAUUUUAUGCAUGUUUUGCAGGGGUGUGCACAUGCACCAGUGUAUUUUCAAUGAAAAAUCCGACUAUUAUGGAUGUUAUCCAACUGGUGCUUGGCAUGGUUGAUAUUUUUCUCAGUCUGUGCGGACUAGGGUGGCAGUCUGGCUAUCAUGGAUUUUGGAUUUUUUUGGAUCUUUGCAACGGUGUACAUAAUUGUACACACAAAUGUAAAUUAA